CUGGCCCCAGGUGGACCCUGGUUCAACGGGGCCGCGGGUAUCCUAACCGUGCGAAGUGUAGCGUAAUCACUUGUUCUUUAAAUGUGGACUAGUAUGAAUGGCAUCACGAAGGUUAUACUGUCUCCUCUUUCUAAUCAGUGAAACUAAUCUCCCCGUGAAGAAGCGGGGAUAAAAAUAUAAGACGAGAAGACCCUAUGGAGCUUUAAACAAAGUAGCACUUAUCACACUAAAUAAAAAAUUCCAGAAUUACUAAAUUUCUGGGUAAUCUGACUAUAAGUUUUUGGUUGGGGUGACCGCGGAGCACAACAUAACCUCCAUGUUGAAAGAAAGUUCUAAGCUAAGACCACAUCUCCAAGCAUCAAAUAUUGACAUCCAUUGACCCAAUAAAUUUGAACACGAACCAAGUACCCUAGGGAAACAGCGCAUCCACUUUAAGAGCUCCUAUCGACAAGUGGUUUACGACCUCGAUGUUG
rnacentral:rRNA from 1 species